rnacentral:rRNA from 1 species
GAUGAACGCUAGCGGCAGGCCUAAUACAUGCAAGUCGAACGGUAGAUCGGGUAGCAAUACUUGAUUGAGAGUGACGUAAGGGUGCGUAACACGUAUGCAAUCUACCCUCAACAGGAGUAUAGCUCGGGGAAACUCGGAUUAAACACUCCAUAACAUUACGAUGUGGCAUCACAUUGUGAUUAAAACUCCGGUGGUUGAGGAUGAGCAUGCGUCUGAUUAGUUAGUUGGAGGUGUAACGGACCCCCAAGACGAUGAUCAGUAGGGGAACUGAGAGGUUGAUCCCCCACACUGGCACUGAGAUACGGGCCAGACUCCUACGGGAGGCAGCAGUAGGGAAUAUUGGUCAAUGGGUGAGNGCCUGAACCAGCCAUGCCGCGUG